rnacentral:rRNA from 1 species
UUCGCAAUGCCCGAAAGGGUGACGAAGCGACGCCGCGUGCGGGAAGAAGGCCUUCGGGCUGUAAACCGCUGUCGGGAGUUAAGAAGUGCAAGGGUGUUAAUAGCAUCUUUGCUUGACUAAGGCUCCGGAGGAAGCCACGGCUAACUCUGUGCCAGCAGCCGCGGUAAUACAGAGGCGGCAAGCGUUGUUCGGAAUUAUUGGGCGUAAAGAGCACGUAGGCGGCUAUGCAAGUCGGUUGUGAAAGCCUUCCGCUCAACGGAAGAACGGCAUCCGAUACUGCAUGGCUCGAGUGCGGGAGGGGAGAGUGGAACUUCUGGUGGAGCGGUGAAAUGCGUAGAUAUCAGAAGGAACACCGGCGGCGAAAGCGACUCUCUAGCCCGUAACUGACGCUGAGUGUGCGAAAGCUAGGGGAGCAAACGGGAUUAGAUACCCCGGUAGUCCUAGCCGUAAACGAUGGGCACUAAGUAGAGGGGUUUUA